AACGCACAUUGCGCCCGCCAGUAUUCUGGCGGGCAUGCCUGUCCGAGCGUCAUUUCAACCCUCGAACCCCUCCGGGGGAUCGGCGUUGGGGAUACGGGACCCCUCACACGGGUGCCGGCCCCGAAAUACAGUGGCGGUCUCGCCGCAGCCUCUCCUGCGCAGUAGUUUGCACAACUCGCACCGGGAGCGCGGCGCGUCCACGUCCGUAAAACACCCAACUUUCUGAAAUGUUGACCUCGGAUCAGGUAGGAAUACCCGCUGAACUUAA
rnacentral:misc_RNA from 1 species